rnacentral:rRNA from 1 species
AUUGAACGCUGGCGGCAUGCCUUACACAUGCAAGUCGAACGGCAGCGGGGGAGAAGCUUGCUUUUCCUGCCGGCGAGUGGCGAACGGGUGAGUAAUACAUCGGAACGUGCCCUGUAGUGGGGGAUAACUAGUCGAAAGAUUAGCUAAUACCGCAUACGACCUGAGGGUGAAAGUGGGGGACCGCAAGGCCUCAUGCUAUAGGAGCGGCCGAUGUCUGAUUAGCUAGUUGGUGGGGUAAAGGCCUACCAAGGCGACGAUCAGUAGCUGGUCUGAGAGGACGAUCAGCCACACUGGGACUGAGACACGGCCCAGACUCCUACGGGAGGCAGCAGUGGGGAAUUUUGGACAAUGGGCGAAAGCCUGAUCCAGCAAUGCCGCGUGUGUGAAGAAGGCCUUCGGGUUGUAAAGCACUUUUGUCCGGAAAGAAAUGGCUCUGGUUAAUACCUGGAGUGGAUGACGGUACCGGAAGAAUAAGGACCGGCUAACUACGUGCCAGCCGCCGCGGUAACAC